AGGACGAACGCUGGCGGCGUGCUUAACACAUGCAAGUCGAGCGGAAAGGCCCUUCGGGGUACUCGAGCGGCGAACGGGUGAGUAACACGUGAGUAAUCUGCCCCUAGCUCUGGGAUAGCUCCGGGAAACCGGGAUUAAUACCAGAUACGACCACUUUAGACAUCUGUUGUGGUGGAAAGAAUUUUGGCUAGGGAUGAGCUCGCGGCCUAUCAGCUUGUUGGUGAGGUAACGGCUCACCAAGGCGACGACGGGUAGCCGGCCUGAGAGGGCGACCGGCCACACUGGGACUGAGACACGGCCCAGACUCCUACGGGAGGCAGCAGUGGGGAAUAUUGCGCAAUGGGCGAAAGCCUGACGCAGCGACGCCGCGUGGGGGAUGAAGGCCUUCGGUUGUAACCCCUUUCAGCAGGACGAAGCGAAGUGACGGUACCUGCAGAAGAAGCGCCGGCUAACUACGCGCCAGCAGCCGC
rnacentral:rRNA from 1 species